rnacentral:rRNA from 1 species
UACGGAGGGUGCAAGCGUUAUCCGGAUUCACUGGGUUUAAAGGGUGCGUAGGUGGGCAGGUAAGUCAGUGGUGAAAUCUCCGGGCUUAACCCGGAAACUGCCAUUGAUACUAUCUGUCUUGAAUACCGUGGAGGUGAGCGGAAUAUGUCAUGUAGCGGUGAAAUGCGUAGAGAUCGGAAGGAACACCAGUGGCGAAGGCGGCUACCUGGACAGAUACUGACACUGAGGCGCGAGAGCGUGGGGAGCAAACAGG